CAUCCAGCACCGAGUAGCCAUGGCAAAUCGUAAGCGAUGCACUACCCCUACCCUCUCGCCGGCGCGGAUACGUGGCACAGUGGAGAUGGGAGAGGAGGCCAAGAAGAGGGGGCGGUGUCCAUGGCGCCACCGCUGCUGGUGGGCGGCGGUCCGGACGGAGCGCCAACCCACCGUGGACGUUGCGCCAAAGCCGCUGGUGCUCCCGUUCUGCGUGGGCCAUGGCUUUGACCUACACCACCUCAAGCCGGGCCUCCCACUCAUCAUCGGCGGCAUCAACAUCCCCCAUGACUGAGGCUGCGACGCCUACUCCAGUGGGGACAUGCUGCUGGACUGCGUGGUGGACGCGAUGUUCAUUUAGUUGGGGCUGCAGGACAUUGGGCAGAUCUUCCCGGACUCUGACCCCCAGUGGAAGGGUGCCGAUUCUUUGGUGUUCAUGAAGGAAGUUGUGAGUUUCUGCCCUAUGAUUUAGCUUCUUGGAUUGGAGUCCCGUAACCAUGGUGAUUUGAAGCGCUGCUAUACAAAGCAAAUGUUCAAAAUUAACAAACAAGUUCUUGCAAAUCUUGCUCUGAAGAUAAAUAUCAAGUGCUGACGUCUCUCAUCCUCAUCCUGGUGAGGACAGCGGUCCCUCAAUUGUUGCUGUUGUGGUGUCCCAAGAUUGGCCAGAAGUGACAAAGUACACUGGUUUAGUUUCUUCGCAAGCUCACCGGCAAGAGUUUGAAAGAAAAUUUUUAUUAAACAUUUGAUAUUAGUUUUUGAAAGAAAAUGUUAUGGAUCCUUAGGCACUGUUGUUUGUGCGUGUUGCACAUUCCUACGAUGAAUAAAAAACUUCCGUCUUGUGGUUCAUUAUAUUUGAAAAUCAUAUGAACCUUGAUAAGGACUUUGAAGGGAUCAAUACUAUGCCUACAAUGUUGAUUGCAAAACAUUAUCAGAUUUUUUAAUAUUCUUCUUUUUUACAAAUGCCUUAUCACAGAUUCCGUGAUUUCUUUUGGAAAGCUGCUAGGAUAGGUAUGUUUCUUUUCCUGCUGCUGCUGGCUCCGAUGUAAACUAAACAGUUCUUUUCAUUAGCCCGGUUCAUUUUUCAUUUGGAGCACUCGGUACUGUUUGUUCUCUUGUCAGUGGUAUAUACAUGCUUCAAUCCAUCAGGACCGUUUUAAUUCUGCCUUUCACCCUGCUGUGCUACAGGAUGAGAAUGGGAGUGCUCGAGAGAAGGUAAGUAGCAGACAUUGUCGCUAUAUUAUGCAAUUUAGUCAUUGCUUUUGUGUGUGGUGAGAUAUGUUUAUGCUGUCUAGAGAAUGCCCUCAAAAUUCGACUUGGUCUAGAUUCUGUUAGUUCAUCAAUUGAUGGAUGCACUACUAACUUUGGUUUUACCAGUUGCUCUAUUGUUUGUUGGAUUUCCUGUUCUACAGGUUAUGGGUGUCAAUGUUUGAUGGGAAAGAGAUUAGAAAAGAAGAGAAAUAUUUGGCUGUCAGAUACUAAAAAAUAUAAGUUGUGGGGGGAAGAAAGAGAAAUGUUUGAGUGACUAAUACAUACUGGCACCUAUUGCAUCAGAAGGGAGUUUAUCACAGGACCGCAAGGUAUGAGAAGGGUUUAUCACAGGACAACAAGAUCCCGAUUGGGUUUAUUUUGAAGCCCGGUGUAUUCCAGCUAAGUGUGCAAAAGUCCAUAUCCAAUCCUAUAAGUGAAAGAGUCUUUAUCUUCGUCGAAACAGACCGAUGCUUCGAUCGACGAGUGCCGCAAGAAGAUCUGGCUAGUCGAUUCCAAGGGGCUGAUCGUUGAGUCGAGGAAGGAGUCACUCCAGCACUUCAAGAAGCCAUGGGCGCACGAGCACGAGCCCCUCAAGACCCUGCUGGAGACCGUGCUGAUCGGCACCUCCAGCGUCGGGCGGACCUUCACCAAGGAAGUCGUCGAGGCCAUGGCGUCUUUCAACAAGGUGCUGUGUCCGUUCAUCGCCUCUCCUGCACUUCUUCUCCCCUCUCGAAUCUGCUAAACUGACUAACCUUGCAUCGAUAU